rnacentral:rRNA from 1 species
UACGAAGGGGGCUAGCGUUGCUCGGAAUCACUGGGCGUAAAGCGCACGUAGGCGGCUUUCUAAGUCAGGGGUGAAAUCCUGGAGCUCAACUCCAGAACUGCCUUUGAUACUGGAAAGCUUGAGUUCGGGAGAGGUGAGUGGAACUGCGAGUGUAGAGGUGAAAUUCGUAGAUAUUCGCAAGAACACCAGUGGCGAAGGCGGCUCACUGGCUCGGUACUGACGCUGAGGUGCGAAAGCGUGGGGAGCAAACAGGG